rnacentral:hammerhead_ribozyme from 1 species
GCGCUGCUGAUGAGUCCCAUAAUAGGACGAAAUGGCCGUCCAGUGC